CUACGGGGGGCUGCAGUGAGGAAUAUUGGUCAAUGGGCGCGAGCCUGAACCAGCCAAGUAGCGUGAAGGAUGACUGCCCUACGGGUUGUAAACCUCUUUUAUAAAGGAAUAAAGUGAGGCACGUGUGCCUUUUUGUAUGUACUUUAUGAAUAAGGAUCGGCUAACUCCGUGCCAGCAGCCGCGGUAAUACGGAGGAUCCGAGCGUUAUCCGGAUUUAUUGGGUUUAAAGGGAGCGUAGAUGGGUUGUUAAGUCAGUUGUGAAAGUUUGCGGCUCAACCGUAAAAUUGCAAUUGAUACUGGCAGCCUUGAGUACAGUUGAGGUAGGCGGAAUUCGUGGUGUAGCGGUGAAAUGCUUAGAUAUCACGAAGAACUCCGAUUGCGAAGGCAGCUUACUAAACUGCCACUGACAUUGAUGCUCGAAAGUGUGGGUAUCAAACAGGAUUAGAUACCCGGGUAGUC
rnacentral:rRNA from 1 species